GGUAGCAUCCUUUACAAAUGAAGGGUGGCUUCAUAAUACCUGAUAUGCAGGUGACUUCUAUAAAAACGAAACAAACUAUGGAGCUCUUAUUCAAUACCCCAUAAAAAAAAAAAAAAGAAAAAGAAACAACUCCUGUUUUACGAAAGGAUCUCCUAGGGUAAAAAUAUCAAAGCAAUCCCUAUAAACAAACACACUAUUUCAAUCAUGUACAGUCUAUGACAAACUUCCACAUUCCGGUCUCCAAUCAGUAUUUAAACUGUAUUCGCUAACUUCCUACCUCUUAUUACCCUGAGACCGAAAGAUAACGGAAAGACAGGCAGCCGGCCUUCCCUUCCCUGGAGACACUCAAGUCAGGCGUGGACUCUGGCCCCAAGCAGCCGUGUGCGCUGGGGCCGACUGCCUACCGUUCUGAGCCACCGCCUCCUCUGGAGGUAAAGUGAGGUAGAUCGCCUACCGAUCACCGAUCCGCCGUGAAGACGAAAAGAGAUCACGUCACUGUUUGUCAAGGGCCUAGUACAGCGCCUGGCGCGCACAACAACCCCUCCCCGCUGGGACGGCAGAGAAAACCCGAGCCCGCAGACGGCACCUCGCUCCCGUUCCCCCGCAUCAAGCCCUCCAGCCCACGGUGCCCCCUUCCUCCCGCAGAGGCACAGCUGUACCUGCUCAGGUGUAAAGAAAAAGUCCCACUUCGGAUGGAAACAAAUUAUCCAAGUCUCCUUAUCAAUCACCAUUUGUAUGCAGAUGCCUCCUGAAUUGCGGCAAAGCCCAGUGGCUCAGAGGGGGGCUCGGAAUCAGCUCCCCGGGUUUAUAUCCGGUUCCACCGCUUACGAGCCUCUGAGACCCAGGGCCGUUUAAGUCAUUUUUUUGCACUCCAGAACCCUCAUCAGCAAAACGAGAAUAAUACCACGAAUCUCUUUAGAAGUGAGGGUUAAAUGAACGAAGUCACUAGCGUGAGGUCCACCGCGUUUUUAAGUGCUCAAUAAAUUAAGCCAGCCCAAACUUGUCUCCUGAGUUCCAGACGCAUUCAGCUACACCAUGCUAUAGACGGAUCUGGAAGACCUGCGUUCCCACCGCUCCGUGUGUUGGCAGCAGCGGGACCAAGGCCUUUGCCAGUUUUAAGCGGCAGGGCUUGGAACCAGAAGAGAGACAAGGUCCAAGAGGAGAGAAGCUCGCCUGGAGAAUGGAACGGGCAAACUCCCUCUGACACUGGCUUUUUUCAAGUCCUGUUUUCCUCCCUUCAGCUCCGAGUUUGGACCCGUGAGCUUCCCUUCCUGCUGCCACGUUCAGCCGGGCUUUUGGCUUCUCCAUCCCUCAGUGACCAAAUCAUGUCAACGGCUCUGCGCUCACCAGGGUUAACUGUGGAAAUCAGAUGCAAUGCUCUGUAAACUUUGCACAUGUUCCUUGUUGUUAUUCUCGGGCCACGUCUGCAUGUUCAAGGGUUGGGAUGUUACUCGUUAAGAGAGCUUUCCAGUUAAAUGAAGGACUUAAUUUAUUACUGAGAAAUGCUAAUUUCACUUGUUAUUCAGUAACACUCGGUGUCCACUCCACCAGUAUACUAAGUGUUUUACCCGGUUACCUGUGACAUUGGUAUUUUAUUUUUCUCCAUUUUACACAUUCAAAAAUUAAGUUUGGAAGAUGAAGUUGUCUGCCCAAGGUCGUCUAUUUUAUAAAAAGCAGAGCUGGGAGUCAAAACUGAUGCCAAGCCUUUGUGGUCAACCACAACAUACAAGAUUGCACAGACAGCCGAUGCUUCACAUCCUUUCUCCUGUUCACAACUGGCUGUCUCUUUUUACUGUACGUUUUUAGAGAUAGGGUAGUGUAUCGAUCAUAAAUCUUUCUUAUUACAAAAUAACAGUUGUCUCUUCAGGGCUGUCCAGUUAAGUGGGGGUAGGGUGAAGGGGGUUAGGACGGUGAUUCCUCCCUACAGUAAGUGCCCAAGAAAUGAGGAUCCUAAUUAAUGCUUAAAAUAAAAUGGGAAAACUGGAAAGUA